UGUUGCUAUCCUUUUCCCAGGGUGGGAAAGAGACAGCUGCAGGGAGAUGAAGAGUUUCAGGAAAUACAGUUCAUAAUCUAAUGCAGAAUUCCCUGGGAGGGAGAAGAGAAGGCUGAAUCAUUGGAUCUUAUUCUGUCUGCUGUUGCACUCUCCUCUGUCCUCCCUCCCCUCCAGAAAUAGAAGAAUUUUUGAACCUCGGGGAAAAAAAAAUCUAGUUGUGCAUGAAAGUGGAAGGUAGAAAUUUGUCCCACUUAUUUACUCAGAGCACUGCCACAAAUCUAUUCUUCACUUAUGUUGCUUUACCCCAUACCCAAAUGAUUUCUUCCUGAAGAAAAAUAUCCCAUGAAAAUUAGUCUCAAAAUGCUUGAAAGUGGGAAGUGUCUUGUGGAAAAAACCUUAAGAUAUUUAAAAGCAGGAUUAAACUUGGCUCAGCUUCUGGAAGUGUUUCAGACUGAAAUAGGCUUUGUUUACUCACUGCAUAUAUAAGAAGAUAUCUAAUGCUUCAAUAAUAGGAGGUUUUUUGUUUUUUAUUUUCUUUACUAAGUAGUACAAGUGAAGACUAACUUUAAAAUUUAUGGACCUUGUAUUUUUAAUUAGUAUGAGAUUAAUUAAAUCUAGAUGUAGAAAAGCUUAGGUAACUUCUGUACACACAAACUCUACUCCCUGAACUGGCUUGGUACUGGUAUGUAUUGUGAAGUCUUGUGUCACAUGUUAGUUGGCUGCUUACUAUUUUUAAUUUCUGUUUCUCAGCAAUAAACUGUUCCAAAUUGAUCUUUCUUUAGUUAUU
rnacentral:lncRNA from 1 species